AUGAAAACAAAUAGAUAAAAUAGAAUUGGAAUAGAGUGCCAGAUGAAGGUUAAUAAAUGUAUUAAUAAAAUGUAUUAAUUCAUUUGAUUACUUUUAUUAUUUUCAUUAAUUUUUAAUUAAUUUACGUUAAAGUAAAUCAAAGGUAAAAUCAGUAUGUUGUGUAUUUCAGACCAUUAUUUUUUAAUAUUAACUCUAAAAUAUCUCAAGGGCAUUCCAGCACAACCUCCAAGAUGAACACUAAACGUAAAUGAAAAAAAACCCCACUACCAACUGAAUAUGGUGGGAAUCUUGUAAAACAAUGAGAAUGAUAUUAUCAGUCCUUACUGAGAGCCAGUUGUGCUUCAGACAAGAGUGACUGAUUAUACUGUGAACUACGUGAACUCGCUGCAGCUCCCUCGUGUGGGUUUCCGCUGCCGCGCAGUGCGCAUGCGCGGUCCCAGCAGCAUCAGUUCCCCAGCGGUCGCCAGAGAGCGAGAGGAGGUAGUGUCUGACUCUGAACCUGCGGCAGCUCUGAGUGUUCCCCUGCUCCUGAUGCACGCGCGGGGCUACUGACCUCAACUGCAACCACAAGCCAUGAAUUACCAACGUGAUCUAUUAGAGUCGAGUCCGAUUUGUCCGUGAAGUCAACAGGCGGUGAUCGUGAUGUACUAUUUACGGAGGAAAGCAGCAUUCUCCAGGUUCAGGUUAAGGCCUACUUGUUAGAUCCCCAUCCUCGUCUCAACGGAGUCGCAUCGUGAUGGCUGAAGACCAGCAGCAGUCUGAAGCUGGAGUAGGACCAGCUUUACCUUCCGCGGUUCAAGGACUGCAAGGGGCUGAGGCGAAUGCGUUGCAGCUAAAAAUAAAGAACUCGAUCUGGACAAUCUCCACAACUAUCCCUUCCAACCAGUGACACAGUGACCUCUCACCUUCCACCCCCACCACUCUCUGUCUGUCUCUGUCUCUCUCUCUCUCUCUCUCUCUGUCUCUCUCUCAGGCAGUUGUUUACGUUUCUGUUAUGAUCAGAGCACAUGCGGCCAGCUGGAGGAGGGGAUCUUAGGGGGAGGGGCAGUGACCGACAGGAUAAAAGUCUGUGGCUUAAAUCAGGCCACUGUUUACAGGAAAAAACAAACCUUAAAUGACUUGAUUUUAAGUUGUGUUUCGUAUAAAUAAAUGUAUAUGUAUUUGCUUCA
ensembl:lncRNA